AUUUUCCUUUGUCAUCUUUGCCGUUCGCUCUCUUUAGAAAUAAACUUAGCUGAAAAUGUAAAGCAACUAGACUUCGAACUUGAGAUCUCGAGUAUCAACCAUCAAAUUCUUUACCACUUACGCUAGGGACAGUCAGUAACUCGGUGGAUUUAGAGGUAGGGAUGUUUCAAUAUAAUUUGAGAUUGGGAGUCAAAAUGGGACAUAAAUGUCA
rnacentral:lncRNA from 1 species